rnacentral:rRNA from 1 species
GAUGAACGCUAGCGGCAGGCCUAACACAUGCAAGUCGAGGGGCAUCGCGGUGCAGCAAUGCACUGGCGGCGACCGGCGUACGGGUGCGUAACGCGUAUGCAACCUGCCCCGCACCGGGGGAUAGCCCGCCGAAAGGCGGAUUAAUACCCCAUGGUCCCGGGGGCCCGCAUGGGCAUCCGGGUAAAGCCUUGGCGGUGCGGGAUGGGCAUGCGUGCCAUUAGCUGGCUGGUGGGGUAACGGCCCACCAGGGCAACGAUGGCUAGGGGGUCUGAGAGGAUGGUCCCCCACACUGGUACUGAGACACGGACCAGACUCCUACGGGAGGCAGCAGUGAGGAAUAUUGGGCAAUGGGCGAAAGCCUGACCCAGCAACGCCGCGUGGAGGAAGAAGGCCUUCGGGUUGUAAACUCCUGUCCCGAGGGACGAAGUAGGUGACGGUACCUUGGGAGGAAGCCCCGGCUAACUCCGUG